rnacentral:lncRNA from 1 species
CGGGUUGCGCACGUGGGUUGCUGGCCAUGCGACUUGCCUGCUGCACAUAUGGGUUGUUGUGUACAUACGAGGGGCAUCUUUUACGCACUUACAUGUGCGUGGCGGGCAUGCGAGAUUAUUUAUCUGCGCGCGUCGCGUGCUUUCUCACACGGGUGGUAGACCCGCAUGUGCGAGUGGUCUUUCCCGCACAUGUGGCAGCCUGCACAUGUAAAGUAAGAGGAGUAUAUGUGCAGCACAUGUUGUGCAUGGAUCUCUUUUGGGCCUUGGCCCACUUUGGUCAUGAGGGCUUUUGGCCACCUUAGGUUGGGUCAUAAAGGGCUUUUAUUCUUACCUUAUAACCUCCCUAAGCCUAUGAGGCAUCAUUGGGGCUUUAAGUUUCAUUUGAACAAACUUGGCACACUCUUUGGAAUAGUCCUAUCUAGGAAAGUAUUCAGGGAUAGAAUUAUUUUUCUGUUUAGGGUAUUUCCAUUUAGGAAAUUUGAUUUUACUUUUAUGUUCAGGGUAUUCCUAUUUAAGAAAUUGGAAUUUACUUUCUCUUUUAGGCAUUCCUAUUCAAGAAACUGGGAUUUACUUUCU